UGGUCAUAUAUAAAAAUUUAUUACAAAGUCUACGUGGUGUAUAGACUGAGCAAUUAGGGUUCAGCUAACAUGAAAUAAAGUUACGCCUUUUGCUGCGAAGUUCAAUAACCAUUCCGCUUUCAAUGUGCCAAACACUAAGUAACCUAGCUAGGUAACACCUCCUUUUCCUUUCGUCAGGGAAGCUAAUGAAGUGACAUCGUUCAACUAGAGAAUCAAGGACUGCUCGUCGACAGAGACUUGGAAAGGUAACCAACUGAAAUAAAAGUAGUGUUGUUUAACCAAACUGAAAGUAUUCCUAUGCCGACUAAUUCUAUGUCACCAAUAAUGUUCCACCGAACUGAAUAUAGCGCCAAUUUGUCAACCCAAGGUUGUGAACCCAAAGAUUUAGAGAAGUGGUUAGUGUUUUUCUUAGGACCUGAGAAAUUUUCGUGUAGAGUUUCUUAUAAAGCUUUUGUUUGUGUGUUGAGAUGAGAAUCCUCUUACAUUGCAAAACCACUUAUUUAUAGUAGCCAUAUAUUUACUUGGCGCGACCUGUAGUAGGGCUGGGCAUGGGCCGGGUUAGGCCCAAAUUUGAAGGAACCGGACCCUACCUGUUUUAAAAUGUAAUGGGGCGAGGCGGGCCGGGUAGAGCGAUUUUGAGUUUAGAAACAGGACCUAACCUAAUUUGGGGCAGGUCUACGAGUAGAAGCAGAUCCAAGAUCAAAAUUUAAGGGCUUUGAUGAAGAAUUAGCAGAAGAAGCAGACAUUGGGGCCCAUUUGCGGGAGGGCUUGAAGCCGAAAUUGGAGGCUAGAGACCCUCGAAGCCGUUCAUGGCGAUUGGGAUUUCUGGUUCUCCCUCUUUCUCCUUCCUCCUCAUUGUUUUAUUGGUUUUUGGCUGUACAAAAACAAAUGGAAUGAUCUCUGAAUUCUCUCAAAGGGUAAAUGUGGAAUUAUAUGAAAAGUUAAAGGGGUGAUCUUGUUGCAGAAGAGAACAGGGUCUGCUAGGAUUUGAAGGAGAAAAAUUUUGAGAGAGAGAGAGACAUGAGGUGAGGGAGGAGGGUAUAACAGGUAUCUGAGAUUCGACGUGAGGUGAGAGAGACAUUGGAGAUUCGACAAAAUCGAAAUCGCAAAAUCGAGAAUAUGGGUGGUACGGGUGUCUGGGUUCUGAGAUGUCGUCGAGGACUCGAGGUUGCUAAGCCGUCGUGGUGUUCGCCAGGGCCCAAACUCGCUACGGUAGUGAUGUCAAGGUGGUGGAGGAUGUAACACCCCGCCCCGAAUAAUUUCUUUAAUUCGGGAAAUAAUGUUAUUAUUAUUUUUUUUAUAGGCCCAAUCUAAAAAUCAUAUUUAGUUGAUUACCAUUAAUUGUUUGUUUUCUACUAUAUUCAAUUUACUAAUCCUUACAUUAAAUUCAAAACUGACUAAAAAAAACAUAAGGAAAAAAAAACAAACUAGUUACUAAAUUCCUUCCUUUAAUUCUAUGUCUUGCUUCCAACCUUGAUUCAUAAAAAAAAUUUAAACCCCAAAUGUACAAAUUUAUUCUCAUCUGGUCUCUAUUUCCUUUUAUAACACACUUCUCGUUCUAAGAAUUAUUUCUUGAGUUAUUUAAGGCUGCAUCUAACACUAUUAGACUGCCUACAUACUCUGGAGUGGGAUCAAGCCUUUCGUAGUUCCCAUAUUCCAAAAGUAAAUAAAAUCCGAAUAUAUUCAGUUAAUACAACAUAUACCAAAAUCGUAUUAAUAUUCAAACCACAUCAAUUUGAUCUCAAAAACAUAAUUAGAAUAAUGAAAUUCGCAUAAAGAAAAAUUGUCGGCUCCCUGGCCGUGUGCCGCACACCCGCCGCCCCGACUCGCCGGAAAAUUCAAUUAUUUCUACAAAUUCUAAAAAAUUACAGAAAUAAAGAUCUCAAAGAGUAGAGCAAACUUUAUACCUGUGGCCAAAUCCAAUUUGGCCUAGAAAGGCUCCAAUUUGCCUUGAACCCGCCGAAAACCUUAUAAAUGGGUGUCCUCGAUUCGUCACCUCCGGUGCUCCGUCGUCCCUACCCUUGUUUGGGCUUUGUUCCAAACCUCAAGCGGAGUCUAAUGGUGGUGGAGAUGGAUGUAGUUUGCUUCAGAUUUAGUGGAUUUCGAACACACUAUCGCCACACCCCAUCGUGCGGUUUCUCCCGAUUUAAAGUCCAAAUCCCUAAAUUUCUAGGAUGUAAUAGGAAGGGGGAGGUCGUGGAGAGUUUACAAAUGGUUAAUUUGAUGUAAUUCGCCGGAAAAAUGGCUAAAAGUCGUCGGAAUAGGAGAGAAAACCCGACCGGGUAGGGUCCGGUCCUUGGGUCGCGGGAUCCCCCACUCCCCCCUUCUCUCUUUUUUCCUCCUUUCUCCCUUCCCCAUUGGUCCUCCUCCCCCCUUCUUUCCUCGUUUCUCUCCUUUUUCUCUUUUUUCCUUUUCAUCCCAGCCAUCCAUCUGUCAUUUUUUUUCUUUUCUUUCAUCUCAGCCACCCACGUGGCACCAUCAGGUUUUGCUCCAAAAAUCUGGAGUCUUCUAAAAAUAAUUAAUUGACCAUUUAGUCCCUAACUUUGUUUGUUAAUAACUUCUUCGUUAUAUCUCCAAAUUUUGUUCUGUUUACGCCUACGCGUUCGUGAGAUCGAGCUUUAUUCAAAAACAUAAAUUUUGACCUUGAAGGGUCUACAUAUUUUCAAUAAUUAAUAUCCAAACUUUAAACCUCGUAACUAGUUUAAUUUAACACUAAAAUUUUAUGAAUUAAUAUAAAUUCCCAAUUAUUUUUACAUAUUCAUAAUUAUGAAUGCCAAAUUCCUAUAUUUACAUUUUUCAGGGUAUUAUAAAGGAGAUGAU
rnacentral:lncRNA from 1 species